UACGUAGGGUGCGAGCGUUGUCCGGAAUUAUUGGGCGUAAAGAGCUCGUAGGCGGUGUGUCACGUCGGCCGUGAAAACCUGCAGCUUAACUGUGGGCGUGCGGUCGAUACGGGCAUCACUGGAGUUCGGCAGGGGAGACUGGAAUUCCUGGUGUAGCGGUGAAAUGCGCAGAUAUCGCUUGGAACGCCAACGGUGAAAACAGGUUGCUGGGGGUGUGCUGACGCUGAGACACGAAAGCCAGGGGAGCGAACGGG
rnacentral:rRNA from 1 species